UACAGAGGAUGCAAGCGUUAUCCGGAAUGAUUGGGCGUAAAGCGUCUGUAGGUGGCUUUUUAAGUCCGCCGUCAAAUCCCAGGGCUCAACUCUGGACAGGCGGUGGAAACUACCAAGCUGGAGUACGGUAGGGGCAGAGGGAAUUUCCGGUGGAGCGGUGAAAUGCGUAAAGAUCGGAAGGAACAUCAGUUGCGAAGGCGUCUACCUGGCCUGAUACUGACACUGAGGCACGAAAGCGUGGGGAGCAAACAGG
rnacentral:rRNA from 1 species